GCAUCCAGUUCUUCCUCUGGGGAGCUGUCCCUCUUUCCGUGUGAUCCUAGCAGCACUGUCACAAAUGACCUCCCUGACAUUCCCUCUAUAUGAGGAUAAUCAUACUCAGGAGAUAGAGUCUUAUCCAUACACCAUAAAACAGGUAUAGACUCCUUUAGUUCUGCCUGGUUUUGCUGCAAGGUUGGCUGCAGAACCCAAAUCAACCACAGCACAUGGUCUUAUUGGCAACAGAUAUGAGAGGAGAUUGAGCUGUAGGAGCCCAGCCCUUUGACCUAAAUGUAACUUUCAGAGAGAGAAGAAGUAACUGCUACAUUGAAGAACUUUCAUGAAACAGGAGGAUAACACCCAACAUUCAGCAACAUUUUCUUCACUUGAUUCAUUGAGCAAGGUCAGCCAAUCACAUACAUAGGCAUCCUCUUGAGACUACAGUGGGAAGGUACAGCGUGGGACUGUCUUGCUACUAUCUUUCAGUACAUCAUUCAACAACCAUUUUAUAACUGGGGAUUGAACUCAGACCCUUGCGCUUGCCAGGGAAGUGCUUAUUCUACUGAGCUAUCUCCCCGGCCCCUAAACAUAACAUUUUGAAGAACUGCGAAGGUGUUUUCCAAAACAGCUAUAGUAUUUUAGAAUCCAAGCUGCAGCGUACCAGAGUUCCAAUUUCUCCAUGUCGUCACAAUCAUUUGUAAUUGUCCUGUUGGUUAUAGCCAUCCUAGUAGUUCUGUAGUAGACUCUCAUAAAGUUCAAUUUAUACAUUUUAUUCUGUCAUUUGUGCUUUGGCAUAGUAUAUAAGAAGGAUUUACCAUAAUACAAGGUCAUAAAGAUCUACUUUGGUGCAGUCUUCCAAGAGUUAUCUAGUUUUACCUCUUACAUUUAUGUACAUGCUCAUCUGGAACUAAUCUUUAUGUGUGGUAUGAAGAUGAGGUCCAACUUUAAUUUUUUGCACAUGGACAUCAUUUAUUCCAGCGUGUUUUUUUUCAUCUAAUCAUUUUGGCAUCAUUUUAAAAAUUAACUAGAUUUAAAGAUGGCUUGUUUUCAGACUCUUAAUUUGGUUUCACUGAUUUAUAUUUGUCUAUAAAUUGACAAUGAUGACCUUCUAAAGAUUAUGAAUAUGAUUUGUCUUACUCUCUUCAUUUCAGUAUGAGUUUUAGCAAGUUUGUCAAUUUCCAUAAAAAAGCUGUAUGAAAUUGCGAUACAGAUUGUAUUGAAUCUGUAGACCAAUUUGAGGAUUCAUUAUAACCUUGAAAUCUUUAAAUCUAUCAGAA